AGGAGCUGAAUGGCCUCAGCCUUGGCCUUAGCUCUAACCAACAUGGCAUUGGCUUCUCCAGCAGCUUUGUUGAUUUGUUCAGCUUUCUCUGCUUCUGAUGCCAAGAUUUGGGCCUGCUUCUGCCCCUCAGCCACGUUGAUAGCAGACUCCCGUGUCCCCUCUGAUUCCAGCACUGUUGCCCGCUUCCGUCGCUCUGCCUCCACCUGCAUCUGCAUAGAUUCCUUCACGCGUGGGGGCACGUGGAUGUCCUUAAUCUCAUAGCGUAGGCACCGGAUACCCCAGCAGUCUGAGGCUUGGUUGAUGGCAUCCACUAUGUUGGCAUUGAGAGACUCCCGUUCCCGGAAGACUCUAUCAAGGGAAAGUUUGCCAAGCUCAGAUCUCAUGGUGGUCUGGGCCAACUGGGUCACAGCAUACUCAGGAUCCUCCACCCCAUAGCUGGCCUUGUAGGGAUCCAUGACACGCAGAUAGAGCACUCCAUCAAUCUGCAAGGUGACAUUAUCUAGGGUGACAGCUGACUGCUCUGGGACAUUGAUGACGAUUUCUUUGAGACUCUGCACAUAACGAAUCCGAUCCAGCAGAGGGAUGAGGAAAUUCAAACCAGGCUCGAGGAUCCGGUGGAACUUGCCCAUCCUCUCCACCACCCAGGCCUCCUG
rnacentral:lncRNA from 1 species